CCGCCUCCGCUGGCCACGCCUGCCUGCCGCUACUGCGGGUAGUCACGCUACUGAGGUGACGUCACGUGAAAUGCCCGGAUCCAAAACUGGAAGUGCCCCAGAAGUAAGAAAAGGCAUACCGGCGACGGACUCCGGCCCGGGGACAGCACCCAGCGCAGCUCCAGCUUCACCACAGCUACAACCAGAGCACUCACAGCCACAAGCAGACACACAGCAGAAAAAAACCCACAAGACCUCCACAGAGAGAACCAGAGUCUUCACCUGACGCCAGCUCCAGCUCCAACACCGCUCCUGUCAGACACUAUCCCAACGCACGUGAGUUUCAGACUACAAACCCUGAUGAAAAAUGCAAACUUGUCUACUUUAACUCUCAGGUAAGAAGAAUUUCCAUCACAGGUGUUUCUGCUGACAGCAUUUUCCCCCCUCCCUAAACAAGGAGAAGCAGGAGAUGCGUGUAAGGAGAUCCUGUGGAAAAUUGUGCCAAGAUCAAGGACGGGUUACAAGAGCCCUCAUUUUCCUUCCAAUGAGAAACUGAAGUGUUUUGUACAGAUCCUAAGGGCCACUUUGUAGAGGGUGGGAUUUUGCUUAAAAUGUGGAAGCAACGUCCCUUUACUUUGCCUCUGCCCUGCUGGCAUGCCUGGGAAGCAGAGAAGCAUGCUGUGACCCAGAGAUCCUUGUGCAGCACACGCAGCCAUGGAGGCCUGGAAGACUCCCAUGGGAGGAGCUGCUGCCCAAACAACAAGAGCCCCCUCCCCACCUUCCGGUCCUCAGUGUAGGCUCAGGAAGGGCUCUGAGAGCUCUCUUGGUCACUGCUGGCAACCACAGCUCCUUCUCAUGGACUUGACAAGGCUCUCCUGCCUCUCCACCAGUAUUUCUUCGCAAAAAAUGUUCUGUGUGUGCUGCAAACAGUGAGGCUGCCUCCAGGAGAGGUGGGUGAUGGUGCCAGCAGCCUCAAGGAGACACGGUCUGCAUAAUCAAAGGCUCCCUUAUGCAAGAGUCUUGCUGUCAAAGCCAGGCCAAAACAGCCCUUUGCUUUUCUGUCAUUCUUGACUCAGUGGGGAAGCAUCAAUGCAAACAUCCCUCUGCAGAGAGGAAAGGCUUGGAACAAUAAUCUACUGCAAAAUUGAACUCUCUAGAUUUUAAUACACCUUCUGGUGGUCAGGGCAUUCAGUGAAACAUAUCAAAUUGCACUUUGCCAGUAAGACCUAAAAAACCUCUAAAAGAUAGCUGUAUGGAACCUGCAAAAUCUUCUGGGUUGAAGUAAGUGCUGGACUGGCAGCAGUGCCAUGGCUCACACUUCCAUGGAUGUCUGACAAACACUUAAAACAGAGUUAAGCUUGAACACUUUGGGCACACCACCAGAAUGCUAUGGGUUCAGGAAUGUUAAUGUGCUACUGCUGUGAACUGAUACACUUCUAUGGGAAGUCUCUUCCCAUCUUUAAUUCAGUGCCUGGAAGACCAGAAGCUUCAGUCUGUGUGUUGUUGACUUGACAGAGAGAAAUACUUCAGUGGAAUGUAAAGGAGCAGCACAGCUGGCUCCAAAUUUAUUUAACAUCCCUGUGUUUACACUGUAAUACCUAUGGGACAAACAGUGCUGCGAUAUUAUUUGUUGUUCUGUGUGUUUUUUUCCUCAGGAAUAAAGAAUCACCACAAUCUAAGGAGGCUGGAAAAAGGCCCAUAUAAUCAUUUCUCAGUGUGACAUGAAACAGAAAUCAAAGCUUUCAGUUUCUCCAACUUGACCUAUGAAGUCUGGGUCAGCAGUUUUCAGUAUACAGAAAAGGAGGUUCAAGUUAUCCUCCUCUUUCUGUGCACAGAAAUGACAAAAUGAAGGGUAAAUCCAAGCACCAGUGAUGCAGCAAACUGCAAACUGGCAGUAUUUCCCAGAAACUGAAGCAAAUGCAAAGGAAUUUGCUUUGAGGGUUAAGCAUGUGUUGCUUAAAUACCAAAUCUGCCACAUGCCACAUCUGUUACAGCCUCUUUCACACAAACCAGCUCUUCCUGCGGCGAUGAAGUAUUUCCCAGGUUGUAAAAAGGACAAUUUACCUGGUGGCAGGUAGCCUAGCCAGGUGUAACACUUACUUUAUGGAAUAAGCCAUGGAUCCCAGGAAAUAUCAACGUCAAGUUCACACACAACAUGGCAGGAGUCAGCAUAUAGGGACCCCUUCAAGGCAGGACAGCAUCAGACCAAAGUAAAAUAAGGGUUUCCUCCAUGAGGGGAGCAAUGCUGAGAAAGGCAAAGAAAAACUCAUUUUUCCAUGACUGAAACCCACAGAUGCUGAGUCUCCCCUGGCUGUACUGGGAUAAAGGUGUCCUGUAGAGCUCCAUGACAGUGACACACCUCCUCCAAGGAUGUGCAGGACUCCCUGUGGGAUCAUUCUGCCUCCCAGCACAUUUAGCCAAACUCGCAUCAAGCUCCACAGCCAUAGAAAUACCCACUCUAGUCCCACGAAUAGCAAAGCUUAAAUGGUCUUUCAUUUCCAGCUUGUUUUUUUGGAUUCUCUCCCACUCUUCUACCCAUGCAAGAAAAAAACCUCUUGUGUUUCACCUUCUGAAUGUCUGAUCCUUGGCCACACAGCUGUCACACAGACAAUCCUGUGUUCAAGAAGCUGUUCUGGGUUGUUAUUUGAUUCCCAGGGAACUCUGGAGAUCUUCAUGCAAAAGAUGCACAAAAUUCCAGUAGAAGAAACUAAAAAUGAGGUGUUUUCCUCUUAACUCCAAGCUGAAGCACCUCCUGGGCAAUCACUUUCAAUAUGCAAAAGGGAAAAAAAUUAAAAUAAGGUAUUUCUGUGGAAGAGCCUUUUCUCCAAAAGCAGAGGGAAGAAAGCAACGUUAAGAAAUGUGACCUGGGGGGCAGCAUAACUGCUUCUGACAGGGCUAAGACAAAGACACUCUGUAAACUACAAAAACCUUCAGUCCUACCACAAGCCCUUCAGACUUACCUGUAACAAAGAGACAAGAGUUCCAGGGUUUAUGUAAGGAGCACAAAGACAUGCCACUGCAUCAGGAGGAUCUGCUAAUUCUGCUGUCCACAGAUAAAGAAUGACAACUUCAAAUGUUUUCUUUUUCCUCUUCCCCGGUUCCUCCACACAGGCAGCCCCAAGACAAGGACUCUCAUUCACGCAUACCACAAUAGCCACAGUGCACUGCAGCACAUCUGCAAAGUGGUGAGAGGCUAUCUUUUAGUGGGAUAAGCUUUGGAAUUCAGGAAGUCUGUGUCAGACAUCAUCCCUUGACCUCCUUCCCUGAAGGCAUCCCCAGCAGCCCCUGUGUCAAGCCCGCUCACAACAUUCCUCUGUACCAGCAGACAUUGCAAAGGAGCCAAGAAACCUCUGAUUUUACGGUGCUUGCUGCCUGCCACGAGCAGGAAGAUGAAAUACUGCAGCAAAGGUACAGCUUUUGUAAUCCUUUUAAUGCAUCUAAUGUUGUCUAUAGAAAAAUAAAGCAAGCAUAAACUGUUGGUGGCCUUCUGAAAUACAAAGAAUGCAUGUCUGACAUCCUAAACAAGGCAAGAAGCUUUUAUUUCAAGGAAAACAGCUAUUAAGGCUGCCCUUCUCACAAAACAGCUGCAGACAAUGAUGGAAAUAAAGUCCUAGGCAAGAAGCCCAUGUGGUAACACCCCCCAACAGAGCCAGCUGAUUUAGAUUACCCAGUCAAUGGCUACCAAUAAGCUCCUUAGUGACCACUACAAUCUGCUACAACAUACAGGUGAUGACAACUAUAAAAUAUGAAUUUUCUUAAAUAAAAGUGGAUUUAACUUUUCUGAAAGUGUCAAAAAUUAGUGGAAGAGAGGAAUUCAGUGCAUCCAGCAGUCUGGCAAAUGCCAGCAGCCUUGACCACCUACAUUCCCCAGCACCCUGAGCAGCCUUUCCCUCUGGGUCACAGCUGUGUCAGGACACACUCUGGAACUACUGAUAACUGAUGGAACACUGACACCAAGGGGCUCACGACCACUUUGGGCUUGGUUCCUCAGCUGUGUUCCAACAGUGUGAGCCCCACAGAAUCUGUAGCGUCAAACCUUUGGCAUGGCCUGGCUCUCCCUGGGUCCUCCUUUUCCACAAGAAUAACAGCAUGCACACUCCAAUGUCUGCACAGCCAGUUUUCAGCAGAAUGGAGAGACUUGACACAAGAAAAAGUGCAGCUGAGAAGCAGUUCCUGCUGUUCUGCAGGGUCUCAGUAAAAGCUCAGCACAUUUUCACUAGUUUCAAGUAAAGCCUAUGCUGGAAGAAGGCACUGUGUCACUUCAUCACCUCCUCAAGGACAGCAGACAAGAUACUUCAUCAUCUGAACACAUGUUCACCCACAGGCUCAGCCUGGUAACGGAUAUCAGGGAUAGACACUGCUACCCAUGCCACCUCCUUGCGAUUUAUGCCAAUGACUGCCUGGUAAAAAAACAACAAACAUCUAGAGCCCCAAAAGGGUGCACAGAACAAUCCAAUGUGCUGCUUCAUGCACAGUGAGAAAUCUAAGCUAAAAUACAUUGCACUACUCCUUUGCCUCCUCUCCCUCUGCAGGUUGAAAAGCCAGGAAAUGUUAAAACAGGCAGCACAGAAGCUUUAGGUGUCCCACACAAAAAAAGUACCUCUUGAACAAAAGCAUUGUGAAAGAAAAACAACUGAACUUAGAGGAAUACAGAUACCACAAGAAACACUCUAAAGUUUUAUAAAAACCACAUAAGUAGAAUAAGACUAAGUAUUUUUUAUAAGAAUUCUUAUUUGUUGGAGAUCAUGCAGUGCAAUGUUUCCAGUGUAAUUUGAAAGCCCAGUUCUUAAACCUCAUGGUGCCUUCAUGUUCACUCAAAUACAGAUCUGCUCCCACCAGGCCAAAUGCAAACAGGACAAAGCCCUCAUUAUCUACCCUGGAAGCAAACUCACAUUCACCUCAUUCUCCAAGAGAUGCAAAGGACUUCACCUCAAACACUGCUGCCCAAAGAGCUGGCAUUUCUAAAACACUGUGUAUUAGAAAAAGGGCUUAGUAAAGGUUUCCUAGAUAUCUACAGUCAGCAGGGAUUGCUCUUUUCUACCAAAGAAUUAAUCAUAGAAGCAAGUUUAACUUAUUUAACAUUCGCAAGGAGCACUGCAGCUAAGGGAAUAGCACUAGCAAUGUCAUCCUGCAUCUGUCAUUACUGCUGCAUUCAAAUUUAAUGAUGACAGUGAACUGACCUGGUCUUCUAUUACUGUGGCAAUUAAUAGCUUUAAAAUAAAACAAAUCCAAAAGCAAAACAAGAAAAUCCACACAAAUUCAUCCAGAGUGUAGAGGGGAAUGUGACAUCCUUCCCCCAUCUUAAUUUUGCACUAUGUGCCCUCAAUACCCAUCAAAUCUGUGCUGUGUUUCCCAAUAUCUGCUCCUAACAAAAUAACAUUGCCCUUUUCUCUGGGAGAAAGAAACAGAUGUACAGCUGGUGACACUGAGCUUUCAACUGACUCUGCAAAAACCAACCAAGGGCAGAAUCAUAAAGAAUUCAAGCAGGAAGUUCUGUGAUGAACAAAAAAGCAUUUCAGAGACACAUCCCAUGCAAUGCCUCCGAGAAGCAGCGUCACUCUGCAAGCUCAGAGCAGUUUUAUGGAGGUUCAUAGAGCUCCACUCAGCUGAAAUGGAACUACUGCCUUCUAUCCCAUAAAAGCCAAAGGCUUUCAAUCUGUCCUUUAUACUUGGAUGAAUAAUUCCUUGCAGGCUUGGCCAGCCUGAACAGCUCCCUCCCCUGCUCGCCAGGCAGGGCUGCAGAGUGCACACAAGUUGGUCUCUGUGCCACUGCAAAGAUCAUUACCCCAGGCAUUGGAGCAUGCCAUAGUCCCAGGCUAGGUCAGGACCAAGGCACAGGAACCUCCCAGAGAGCACAAUUCCUUGGAUUUAGCCAGCACUGCAAACUUUAGCACAGCUUGCCAUCAGGAAUGCUGCUCCAGACCCUGCUCCAGAGCAGGCAGCAGCAUUAACCCAAUGCCUUGAAAUGUGUGGGAAGGAGCACAUGGGGCUAGGAGAAGGUAUAAAUGCAUCCCACUUUUCCUUGGGAUUUUUUCCCAAAACACAUGAACAGGGAACACUAGAAGAAACUCACUUUUUGUAAUGGAAAGAAAAAAAUAAAUGCAAAUAAAACAUCACAUGCCACACUGGUCAAGAGAAGGAAUUGAAACCCUGAGGAAUAUAAAGAUCUUUUUCCAUGGAAGUUCAAGAAGAAAACAAGACAAACCACACAGAAGGGAGAUACCAAAGUUCUGCAAAGUUCUACAGGAUACACUUACUACUGGAUUCAACCACAGUACUGCAUAAUCAACUCUGCUGUGGGAAUUGCAAUCUCAUUUAAAAUAUUAAAUUUUUAAAAAAAGUUAAAAAUACUAAUAAAGAACUUGCAUUUAGGAGCCACUAA